rnacentral:tRNA from 1 species
GCGGGUGUAGCUCAAUGGGAGAGUUCUGGCCUUCCAAGCCAGCUGUGAGGGUUCGAUCCCCUUCACCCGCUCCA